rnacentral:tRNA from 1 species
AACAAGACGGAAGAGAGUCACUCUUACCGUCGCGCAUACCAAAAGCGGGUCUGCCGCCUUCGUUUCUCUUUCUUCAGCGAAUGACUUUGACUUGCGCUCGCGCGCCGUACCGGCCUUCGGCCUGGCGCUCCGCGAGGGCGCGGCACGAGCCGCGACGGCCAUCUCUUUCGUCAAAGGUGGCGGCCUUGCGAGACGUGCGUCUCGUUGGCGAAAGCCGAUCAAAGGCGCAGUCUAAGGGCUUGUAGCUCAGUUGGUUAGAGCGCGCGCUUGAUAAGCGUGAGGUCGGAGGUUCAAGUCCUCCCAGGCCCACCAUUCCUUUCGACACGAAGGUUAUCAGGGGCCGUAGCUCAGCUGGGAGAGCGCCUGCUUUGCAAGCAGGAUGUCGUCGGUUCGAUCCCGUCCGGCUCCACCAAUGCGCGAUCUCGAAGAGAUCGUCGCUCCAACCACCCUCUUGCGAGGUUGGCUAAGCGCGAUCCGAAAGGAUCGCGUGUGGGUGUCGAGUAGAGGCGGCGAGAAAAAAGUCAUUCGAUAUAAGAGUUUGCGUCGAGCUUCGUGCUCUGCGCCUGUUCUGUUUGACAUCGUAAAGAGAAGAUUUGUUCGAACUUCAUGGGUUCCGAAAGGGCCAUGAUUUGUCGCUGGAGACGCUCAAUCUCCAGCAUAUGAUGGGUUUGCCUAACCGCGCCCUCGAACGGAUCUCGAGAAGCUGGUCUUUUUGUG